rnacentral:rRNA from 1 species
GAUGAACGCUAGCUACAGGCUUAACACAUGCAAGUCGAGGGACCGGCGCACGGGUGAGUAACACGUAUCCAACCUGCCCUUUACUCGGGGAUAGCCUUUCGAAAGAAAGAUUAAUACCCGAUAUAAAGGAUGGGGAUGCGUUCCAUUAGGUUGUUGGUGAGGUAACGGCUCACCAAGCCUUCGAUGGAUAGGGGUUCUGAGAGGAAGCUCCCCCACAUUGGAACUGCGGCACGGUCCAAACUCCGACGCGAGGCAGCAGUGAAGUGUAUUAGGCAAUCGACGCUAGUCUAGACCUGCCAAGUAGCGUAAAGGAUGAAGGCUUAUUAGUCGUAAUCUUCUUUUAUAGAAGAAUAUGUAUUAUAUGAAUAAGGAUCGGCUAACUCCGUGCCAGCAGCCGCGGUAAUUC